rnacentral:rRNA from 1 species
CAGUAGCCGCGGGAAUACGAGGGGGGCAAGCGUUGUUCGGAAUUAUUGGGCGUAAAGCGCACGUAGGCGGAUUCUUAAGUCAGAGGUGAAAUCCCAAGGCUCAACCUUGGAACUGCCUUUGAUACUGGGGAUCUCGAGUCCGGGAGAGGUGAGUGGAACUGCGAGUGUAGAGGUGAAAUUCGUAGAUAUUCGCAAGAACACCAGUGGCGAAGGCGGCUCACUGGCCCGGUACUGACGCUGAGGUGCGAAAGCGUGGGGAGCAAACAGGAUUAGAUACCCCCGUAGUCCCUGUCUCUUAUAC